CGGUAAUUCCAGCUCCAAUAGCGUAUAUUAAAGUUGUUGCAGUUAAAAAGCUCGUAGUUGGAUUUCUGGUCGGGGUCAACGGUGCGCACUCGCGCGCCUGCGUCCUCUGCCAUCCUUCUGUUAAGCCCGUAUAGCAUUCAUUUGUUGACGGGUGGCUCAGAUAUUUUACCUUGAGAAAAUUAGAGUGUUUCAGGCAGGCUAGCGCCGGGAUACAUUAGCAUGGAAUAAUGGAACAGGACUUUAACCUCUUCUGUUGGUCUGAGGGGUUAGAGUAAUGAUUAAUAGGGAUAGUUGGGGGCAUUAGUACUUAACUGUCAGAGGUGAAAUUCUCGGAUUUGUUAAAGACUAACUUAUGCGAAAGCAUUUGCCGAAGAUGUUUUCAUUAAUCAAGAACGAAAGUUAGGGGAUCGAAGACGAUCAGAUACCGUCCUAGUCUUAACCAUAAACUAUGCCGACUCGGGAUCGGGGGCAGCAUCAUCCGCCUUCGGCACCGUAUGAGAAAUCAAAGUCUUUGGUUCUGGGGGGAGUAUGGUCGCAAGGCUGAAACUUAAAGGAAUUGACGGAAGGGCACCACCAGGCGUGGAGCUUGCGGCUCAAUUUGACUCAACACGGGGAAACCUACCAGGUCCAGACACAGUGAGGAUUGACAGAUUGAUAGCUCUUUCUUGAUUCUGUGGGUGGUGGUGCAUGGCCGUUCUUAGUUGGUGGAGUGAUUUGUCUGGUUAAUUCCGUUAACGAACGAGACCUUAGCCUACUAAAUAGUCGCACCAAUUUACAUUGGCCGCGUACUUCUUAGAGGGACUUUGUACAUUAAGUACAAGGAAGUUUGAGGCAAUAACAGGUCUGUGAUGCCCUUAGAUGUCCUGGGCCGCACGCGUGCUACACUGACACAUACAGCGAGUUUUCCAGCUCCGCGAGGCAGCUGGCGAUCAGCAAUAUGUGUCGUGAUGGGGAUAGAUCUUUGGAAUUUUUGAUCUUGAACGAGGAAUGCCUAGUAAGCGCAAGUCAUCAGCUUGCGUUGAUUAAGUCCCUGCCCUUUGUACACACCGCCCGUCGCUCCUACCGAUUUCGGGUGGUCCGGUGAACCCUUUGGACCUACCUUUGGCCUCGAGCCACUAACUGGGAAGUCGAGUAAACCACAUCACCUAGAGGAAGGAGAAGUCGUAACAAGGU
rnacentral:rRNA from 1 species